rnacentral:rRNA from 1 species
CCGCGAUAUGUGCUCGCCAGCGCGCGCGAGUCUGCCGCCGCAUUAAGCCCCAUUACUAUCAAAUCCUCUUUUGGCCGAAAAAGCCCCAACGACCUCUACUUGUGUUUUAACUGUAACCUAUCGACCCCCGAAAACACCACACCAGAUCUAACAUAUUUGUCCGCCCUUAAAACACACCUCGAUAGAGUUUGUUUAGAUGACGGUAUAUGAGCACACUCGGGUGAGAUAGAGCGCGUAGUUACGAUUGUGCGACGGGUUCCUCUGACCCGAUCAGACGCCGCCAAACCCUAUGGGUUUAAAGGAGAUAACUACUACUACCCUAGUAACGUCGGUCUCGAAAUAAUAGGG